GCAGGAUUCCUCUGAUUAGUCUGAGUGACUCCAGGUGAGUUCAGGUGAGCUCUGAUUGACCAGACUCACAGUUCAUGUGUCUCAGCUCCUUCAUGCAUCUCUGACUGUUUCAGACCGCAGUCAGAUUUAAACCAGGUGAGAGGUCAAAGGCGCAUGCUGAGGAAGUCUUUCACAUCAUGUGCUGCUCUUUGUCCUGAAUGAAGCCAGCAAACAUCUGAGUAUCCAUGAAGAGCUGCAGGAACUGGCGGACUCCACGGGAGGGAUGAGAUUUCCGGAAGCUGUCGCGCUGUAGUUCCCUGCUUCCGUUGGAAGACUCAGCCAUGUGGAGAGAAUAGUGGCCCACCAGCUCCACGAAGAAUCGCACGAAACCCUCAGAGACCAGAGAGCUCAGGUCAGCCUGCUGACCUGGAUGAGCCAAACAAAUGGUUCAAUAACACAGCAGUGUUUUACAAGACGAUCUGACUGAUGUUUGACAUGCUAAUGGAUGUCGUUUACAUGACUAAACAUCUUUACUGUGGCGCACAAAUUGAUGUAUUACAGAUGAUGAUGAGAGAAUAAAUUUAACUUCUCAGCA